rnacentral:rRNA from 1 species
CUACGGGGGGCACCAGUGGGGAAUAUUGCACAAUGGAGGAAACUCUGAUGCAGCAACGCCGCGUGGAGGAUGACGCAUUUCGGUGUGUAAACUCCUUUUAUAUGGGAAGAUAAUGACGGUACCAUAUGAAUAAGCACCGGCUAACUCCGUGCCAGCAGCCGCGGUAAUACGGAGGGUGCAAGCGUUACUCGGAAUCACUGGGCGUAAAGCGCGCGCAGGCGGCUAGAUAAGUUGGAAGUGAAAUCCUAUGGCUCAACCAUAGAACUGCUUCCCAAACUGUUUAGACUGAGGUCUGGGAGGGGAAGGUGGAAUUAGUUGUGUAGGGGUAAAAUUCGGAGGGAUUACUAGGAAUAACCAAAGCGAAGGCGGUCUUCUGGAAACGGACUGACCCUGAGGCGCGGAAGCGUGGGGAGCAAACAGGAUUAGAUACCCCUGUAGUC